CCCCGCCAGCCCCCCGGGCAGAUAGCACCAGCCUUCCCGCGCCUCUUUCAGGGAAGAACCGAGGACACCGGGGUUACCUUUGCCAAUUCCGGGCGGGCGGUUUGGGCAAGUCCCUUAGACUCCCGGCCUUGGUUUCCCCACCUAGGAAAUGGACGGGAGGAGGAGCAGGCUUUUUUCGGGCCCUUCCCUCCCAGGCGUGCUCUGGGCCUUCAGUCUCUGCGGAGGAAGGGACUUGGGGGAAAUCUCCUUUUUCAGGGGCCGGUGGCCUGGGUGUCAGGGAGAGACAACCCCAUGCGUCCUGCAGACUUCCUCAGUCCCCCUCCGAAGGCACCUGCCUGGGAGAGAGGGAGUGAGGGACUGUGCUUCCCAGAGCCUCUCCUCCCAGUAGCUCCUGAAGAUCUGGGCCCUGGAAAAGCAAAUAUAUACACCCACCCACCACCACCCACCCCAAACAUCCCCGAAGAAAAGGUAACCACAGAAACAGCCAUGAAUGCGGAGCUGGGCGUUAGUGUUAGGCUGAGACAGUCUGUCUCUCUCGCGUCUCUAGGGGAAAACGCAAACCCUCCUGCAAAUACUCCUUCACAAAAGUGAGAGGAGGAGUGGGGCUGCUCCCUUCAGCUAGAUGAGGCACCUGGGGCUGCCCACCCCCCUACCCCCCAGCUCCAGAAGCUCAAACCAGGAGAAAUAGAGAACUUAUCGGCAGCACCAGCGGCAAGAAUGACUAGAAUCGCUGGAUCCUGCCUCGGGCCAGUAUGGAUCUGAGGUGGGGACGUUGGAUGAUUGGCCAUCUUGCUUACCCCUGGCAUCCACGAGUGUUCGUGAUGGCCCCUGAGGCAGAGGCUAUGACCCGCGGUUACCCAGGGAAUGCGACUCAGAGGCACAUUCCCAUGGAUCCCCCUUUCCCCUUCGCCCUUGCAAGCUCCAGAGGGUUCCGAUGAACAAGAGGGUCCCUCUCCUCGAGCGACUACCCCGCCAUGGACUGAAUCGUGUCCCUCCAAAAUUCAUACAUUGAAGCCCCAACACCCCCCAUGUGCCUGGAUUUGGAGAUCGGACUUUAUAGGAAGUAAUCAAGGUUAACGAGGUCAUGGGGCACCUGGGUGGCUCAGUGGGUUAAGCCUCCGACUUCGACUCAGGUCCUGAUCGCGCGGUUCGUGGGUUCGGGCUCCGCGUCGGGCUCUGUGCUGACAGCUCGGAGCCUGGAGCCUGCUUCGGAUUCUGUGUCUCCCUCUCUGCCCCUUCCCUGCUUGCGCUCUAUGUCUCUCUCCCUCUCUCUCAAAAAUAAAUAUUAAAAAAAAAAAAGUUAAAAAAAUAAA
rnacentral:lncRNA from 1 species